UUUUGGGGUCCCUCCUUGGGAGGGGUUCCUGAUAUUGGGGUGGGGGAAUUGUGGGUCUGGGGGGGAACUGAAGCCCCCUCAACAUUUUUCUCUCCUUCCACAGUGCCUCAGUGAUGGUGACAAAAAACGGCCAGCGCCAUCCUGCAGAGCCACAAGCCCAUGGUGGUGAGGAAGAAGAGUGUGUGGGUGACGAAGGCCCCGUGAGCCCCCCAAAAAUAAAGAAUCUGAGCAAUC